UGGUCUUGGUCUAGUGGAUAAACUUAACUCUUUUCCUUCUGUAUAUUCCUCUUUGCUUCGAGGGUUUUGUUUCAUUUUCUGCUUACAAUUUUUUGAUCUCUUGCUGUUGCUGUUGCUUAUGUUUACUUGCAGACUGCCCAGUUCCUAAAUUUGAAACCGCAGAAAAAUUAUAUGCAUCCAAGGGUACCCCAAUCAAGAAGCUUGUGCAACUUCUCCAAAAUAGCCAACUCAGGAAAACAUUGCAGGAUAGUACAAGAAACAGAACACCUAUCAAAGUGGAUGUUUGAGCAUGAUUUGGGAAAAUCGUUCUGAAUGGAAACUUUAAUACCUUGAAUGUGUUUCACCUGGAAGCUGAUGGGGAUGCCCUUCCUUGAUAGGUGUCAUUAAUGGACACCCAGUUGUGCAACGCUAUUGAGGAAGACCGGUCAUGCUUUGCUGAUCAGAUGUGUGGGGUCAGUGCAUCUGCUCUUGGGAGAUUAUAGAACAACUGGUGGCAAACUGGACAGUGAAAACCUCUGUGGAUGGUAGUGCCUAUGCAAAGAAGAUCUAGUUGAGUUACACCUUUGCAGAAUGAAAUUUGCUUUUUAUUUCUAAUUUUCCCUUCCUCCCCCCCCCUCGCCGCCCCUCCCCUCCCCUCCCCUCCCCUCCCCUCUCUUUUGGUUGAAUAAAUGGAGGAGGUUUGACCCGGCCUAGCCUUGUGCACCAAUUUUUGAAAUCAUUGCAAGAUAGUACAAGAAACAGAACACUUACAAGUUGGAUGUUUGAGUCUGAUUUGAGAAAUGGUUCUGGAUGGAGAUUUUAAUACCUAGAAUGUGUUUCCUAUGAAAGCUUGUGGGAGUGUUCUUCCUUGGGGAAGUCUCAAUAGACCCCAAGUCAUGCAAAGCUGCAGAGGAAGGCUGGUCAUGCUUUUCUGAUCAUAACUGUGGGGAUGCCUAUGCAACUGACUGUUAUCGAUGGUACUGCCUAUGCAAGAAGAUCUAGUUGAGUUACACCUGUGCAGAAAGAAAUUUGUUUAUUUGUAAUUUCCUUUCUUCCCCUCUUCCCCCCUUCCCCCCUUCCCCUUUCUUUUGGCUGAAUAAAUGGAGGGAAUGAGGCUUGAACUGGCCUAGACCUUGUGCACCAAUUUUUGUCAGUAGUUGAUUCUUUGAUUGUGACUCCUUAA